CGGAUUUUCAAGGUAAAAGUUGAUUUUCAAGGCAAAAAUGGAUUUUCAAGGCAAAAAUGGAUUUUCAAGGUAAAAGUUGAUUUUCAAGGUAAAAAACGAUUUUCAAGGUAAAAGUUGAUUUUCAAGGUAAAAAUGGAUUUUCAAGGCAAAAAUGGAUUUUCAAGGUAAAAGUAGAUUUUCAAGGUAAAAGUAGAUUUUC